rnacentral:rRNA from 1 species
GACGAACGCUGGCGGCGUGCCUAAUACAUGCAAGUCGAACGCAUUUUCUUUCACCGUAGCUUGCUACACCGAAAGAAAAUGAGUGGCGAACGGGUGAGCAACACGUGGGUAACCUGCCCAUCAGCGGGGGAUAACACUUGGAAACAGGUGCUAAUACCGCAUAAUUCCAUUUACUGCAUGGUAGAUGGAUGAAAGGCGCUUUUGCGUCACUGAUGGAUGGACCCGCGGUGCAUUAGCUAGUUGGUGGGGUAACGGCCUACCAAGGCUGCGAUGCAUAGCCGACCUGAGAGGGUGAUCGGCCACACUGGGACUGAGACACGGCCCAGACUCCUACGGGAGGCAGCAGUUGGGAAUCUUCGGCAAUGGACGCAAGUCUGACCGAGCAACGCCGCGUGAGUGAAGAAGGUUUUCGGAUCGUAAAACUCUGUUGUUAGAAAAGAACAAGGAUGAGAGUGGAAAGUUCAUCCCUUGACGGUAUCUAACCAGAAAGCCACGGCUAACUACGUG